ACUCCUACGGGAGGCAGCAGUGAGGAAUAUUGGACAAUGGGCGCAAGCCUGAUCCAGCCAUGCCGCGUGCAGGAAGACUGCCCUAUGGGUUGUAAACUGCUUUUAUACGGGAAGAAACACUCCCUCGUGAGGGGAGCUUGACUGGUACCGGUAAGAAUAAGGAUCGGCUAACUCCGUGCCAGCAGCCGCGGUAAUACGGAGGAUCCAAGCGUUAUCCGGAAUCAUUGGGUUUAAAGGGUCCGUAGGUGGAUAAUUAAGUCAGAGGUGAAAUCCUGCAGCUCAACUGUAGAAUUGCCUUUGAUACUGGUUAUCUUGAGUCAUUAUGAAGUGGUUAGAAUAUGUAGUGUAGCGGUGAAAUGCAUAGAUAUUACAUAGAAUACCAAUUUGCGAAGGCAGAUCACUAAUAAUGUACUGACACUGAUGGACGAAAGCGUGGGGAGCGAACAGGAUUAGAUACCCUGGUAGCGAGU
rnacentral:rRNA from 1 species